UACGGAGGGGGCUAGCGUUGUUCGGAAUUACUGGGCGUAAAGCGCGCGUAGGCGGUUUGGAAAGUUGGGUGUGAAAGCCCAGGGCUCAACCCUGGAACUGCACUCAAAACUUCCAGACUAGAGACUUGGAGAGGUGGGCGGAAUUCCGAGUGUAGAGGUGAAAUUCGUAGAUAUUCGGAAGAACACCAGUUGCGAAGGCGGCUCACUGGCCAAGUUCUGACGCUGAGGUGCGAAAGCGUGGGGAGCAAACAGG
rnacentral:rRNA from 1 species